CGCCUGUUGCAGUGAUACGGCUGAAGUUUGUCCCAGCUCGCUUUCCAUCCCUCAGGCAGCUAGGCUUCACUCAGUGCCUCAAACAGGGAAGAAUCUCCAUCAACACCAGGGGAGUUGUGACUCACUUUGAAGUCUCUGUGUCGCAUUUACACUUAUGAUUAAACUCAAAAACACUGGAAUGUGGAGUUAGUCUGUUCAGCUGGUGUAGCUUAUUCAACAACUUUAACCUCCGAUAUUCAACAAGUAGGACUGCUCUCUCAGCAGCUCGACGCUUUAUACACAAAAGUUGCUCCAGUUUGUCCCUGUGGAGCACUUUGCAGUGAGUACCCUUCUCCUUCGGACAUCUAGGCUUCGAGCAGGCCGUGACUCUGUGGCCAUGAGGAAUCAUGGCGGAGCUGGAGGUGGAUCAGUCUAACCUGCCGCGGGUUCAGGAGGGCUGAACAGACCUGAGCUAAUCCGAGAGCAAGACUUAUGUGCGAAGGCCAGUCGCACAUAGGUGUAGAGCCCUGACUAGCCAGUAGAAAGCGAGGAAAAUCCGGGAGGCGGGUCGGACGAACCUAACAUAAAAACAUCGGUUCGUAUCCCACCUUGGCUAAAAAGUACUUUAAAAAAAAAAUUGUUUUUAAUGUCGAAUCCAUAAAAAUAUGAUAAACAUAUUAAAACAAUAUGAUGUACAAAAA
ensembl:lncRNA